rnacentral:rRNA from 1 species
CGGCGUGGAUAAGACAUGCAAGUCGAGCGCUGAUUACGGGGUAGCAAUAUUCCGUAGUCGGAGCGGCGCAAGGGUGCGUAACACGUGGGUAAUCUGCCAUGAAGUUCGGGAUAACUUGCUGAAAGGCGAGCUAAUACCGGAUGUGACAACUGGGAGGCAUCUCCUGGUUGUUAAAGUUGGGGACCGCAAGGCCUGACGCUUCUUGAUGAACCCGCGGCCUAUCAGCUAGUUGGUGAGGUAACGGCCCACCAAGGCUAAGACGGGUAGCUGGUCUGAGAGGACGACCAGCCACACUGGAACUGAGACACGGUCCAGACACCUACGGGUGG